AAUAUUGGUCAAUGGGUGCAAGCCUGAACCAGCCAUGCCGCGUGCAGGAAGACGGCCUUCUGUGUUGUAAACUGCUUUUGCCGGGGGAUAAAAAACCCAUGCGUGGGUAAUUGAAGGUACCCGGUGAAUAAGCCACGGCUAACUACGUGCCAGCAGCCGCGGUAAUACGUAGGUGGCGAGCGUUGUCCGGAUUUAUUGGGUUUAGAGGGUGCGUAGGCGGCCUGUUAAGUCAGUUCUGGAAUAUCCCGGCUCAACCGGGAGGGUGGGAUUGAUACUGAUGGGCUUGAGUGGAUUCGAGGUAGGCGGAAUUGACGGUGUAGCGGUGAAAUGCUUAGAUAUCGUCAGGAACACCGAUAGUGUAGACAGCUUACUAGACUUCAACUGAAGCUGAGGCACGAAAGUGUGGGGAUCAAA
rnacentral:rRNA from 1 species